AGAUGUGAAGUAUAACAACUUAGCAAAUAUAGAACUAUAUAUACACAUAUGACUGUAUAUGGCCAUGUAAUUAUAAACUGAUACUAUAUCAGAUAUAUUUAUAAUAAAACUUUCUCCAUUCUAAAAAAUAAAAUAAAUAUAAUAUAAGCUAGCUCUAGAAGAUUGUAAAAAAUCCCUAUUCACAUGGACCAUAUCCAAAAAAGUUGUCCUUGGCGAUAACAGUAAUAAUAAGAUAGAUUAUUGUGGAUUGAGAGAUUAUUUCUGACUUAUUCAACUUUUAAUUUAUGAUUUUUUUUUAAUCUUGAAUAUCUUGUGUCCUAAACAAUAAUGUGGGUAAAAAGAGAAAAAUGUGGAAUGGGUUUUUGUGUGAGUUGAAAUGGUAUGCAUGGAUUUUGAGUACGUAUCUGUUUAGGUGUUUGUUAGAAUAUGAACGAGAGUGUCCUAUAUAUAUGUAUGAGAUAUUUUUAUCUCGUGAAAAACGGUUACAGAAAAAAGAUGGUACAAUAGAAAGUCAUUGUAUAGUACAUGAUAAGUAGAAGUACCUUUAUCCCUCUUUUCUCACACUCACAUAAUUUUACCAUUCUUUUCAGUGAGUACUGGCUAUAUCUUUCCUUUCCUAUAAAUAGAGGCCACUUGAGAGCAGUCUAUUAUAGCAAACAAUAUCCUCUCCCUCUCCCUAGAUCUCUUUUACAAAAAUAUAUAUAUAUAUGGAGCUGUUAUUAAUAAAGUUUCAUUAUUGAGAACUUCUUUUAAUUAUUUGAAGGAGAUUAAAGAUUAGGGAAACAAGAGACAUUGUUUGAGGCUGUUGACAGAAGAUAGAGAGCACAGAUGAUAAUAUGCAAAAACUAAAGCCAAUAACUCCAAGCUGCAUCUCACUCCUUUGUGCUCUCUAUGCUUCUGUCAUCACCUUCAGUCUCUCUACCCAUUUCUUUAUCCUUUCUAUAAAUCUCAUUUUUAUUCAAACUUAAUUACAAUAAUGGAUAUCCAAAACAUUCUAUAUACAAACAUGUAUAUACAUAUAUAAAUAUAUUUAUUGGCACCCAGAUUUUGUCCUUCCAAAAUUACAACAUUUGUCUCUCGGAUCUACGAACACCACAUGAUGUCAAUCAGGAAAAUCAAAGGGGGGAAAGAUUUUUAAAAAGGCUAUAGUUGUUGUAUUAUAUAUAAAUGAUUGUCUGUGUACUAUUCUGUAUUGUAAUUGAUAAAAAGUUCCACACUAAAGAAGAUUAAGUGCUCUUUCAAAAAGAAAAAGAAGAAGAAGAAGAAGAAGAAGAUUAAGUGAUUUAUGACCGAUUAGAUGUAUCAAUUGACUCAGGCAGACCGACUUGGCUUAUUAGGGUUAAUAAUUCUAAGGCUGCUAGUUUCUCUUCUGAAUUUUGAUAUUUCACAAUUCCAAACAUUGUAAUAUAACCAUACAAAAAAAUUAUAUUGGUAUAUAAAAUUUCAUUUUUUUCUCUUCA